GCCAACUUGGAACAACUCCAUCAAAAAUACCAAUAUCUCAUAAUUCUAAAAACUCUGACACUGAUACACCACUAAAAGAUCCUUCUGUUGGAUCGAGAUCCGAGGCUAUAAGGGGGGAUAAUAGCCUCUUUUCGAUUUAUGCAAGUUAAUAGCGGAAUUACCUACACACACUUAUGUACACAAAUAGUUGUAUAAUAAUAAUAGUAUAAUAUUGUUAGCAAUACAAUACUAUUAUAUAAUUUUAAAGAAUAUAAUAUUAUAUCUUAUAAUAUUAUAUGUAUUGGACUUGCCUUUUGCUCUUGAAGUUUACUACAGUAUAUGAAUACGUAGUCAACUUUUCAGAUGGUGUUUUAUAAACAACUAUAAUAUAUGAAUACUAAGUUAUAUUAUAAACACAAGUUAUAUUAUAAAGUAAAUGACCAGAUAACUAGAUAUAUUGAUAAGCAAGUAAAUGACCAGAUAACUGGAUAUAUUGAUAAACAAGUAAAUGACCAGAUAACUGGAUAUAUAUAUGAUAAGUAAAUGCUUGAACAAAUAUAUGAAUAAAGAUUUAAAGCAAUGAAUAUAACCUCAGAUAGUUGACCAGAUAACUGGAUGAGGAAUCUGCGUAAAGUAGUCAACCUCUGUAUUUGACCAGAUAACUGGAAGAGGAAUCCUUUUCAAUUAAGUGUUGUUUAGUUGUUUUUAGAUGAAAGAUAAAAACUAGAGUUAACAAAGAACAACACAAGAGAUUUAUACUGGUUCACCCAAACAAGGGCUAGUCAAGUCCCGACCAACUGUCGGAAUUCACUCGCCUAAAGGUUAUGGCAAAACCUUAGAGUAUCAAGGAAACUCUUAAGAACCUCUCUAAGCUUUAAGGCUACUUCGCUUAGGAACCAGUCUUUUACGGGUAGACUCACACCUUAGAGUAUCAAAGGCACUCUUAAGAACCUCUAACUUUUGCGGGUAAGUUAGUACCUUAGAGUAUCAAUGAACUCUUAAAAACCUCUCUAAGCUUUAAGGCUACUUCGCUUAGGAACCAGUCUUUAACGGGUAGACUCACACCUUAGAGUAUCAAGGGCACUCUUAAGAACCUCUAACUUUUACG
rnacentral:lncRNA from 1 species